rnacentral:misc_RNA from 1 species
UUGUUGGAGAUUAUAAGUGGCAAGAAGAGUAACACUUGUUAUCCAGAGGAUCCUUCCCUGAACUUGAUAGGGCAUGUGUGGGAGCUAUGGAAACAAGAAAGAGCUUUGGACAUAGUAGAUUCAUGUCUAAAAGAGUUUUCUCCUCCUCUUGAAGUAAGGAGAUGCAUUCAAAUUGGGCUAUUGUGCGUGCAAGAAGAGGCAACAGGUAGACCCACCAUGCCACAUGUUGUUCUGAUGCUAAACGGUGAAACAGCCCUUCCGUGUCCUAAACAACCUGCUUUCAUUUUAAGAAGAAAUUGCAGUGAUCCUAAUCUGUCAACACUAGGAAGAGCAAAAUGUUCUUUAAAUGAGGUGACCAUUACCAAGAUCGAAGCCCGCUAGAGAUGUUAGUAGGAAUUUUUACAGGAC